CGCCGAGGUACUAAAACCACCGCGGCCUGUCGUGCUUCGCGGAGCGUAGCUUUGCAAAACUCAUGCUUUAGAGCUGAACUCAGGCAAGAGGACCCGCCGAAUUUAAACAUAUUACUAAGCGGAGGAAAAGAAACUAACAAGGAUUCCCUCAGUAACGGCGAGUGAAGCGGGAACAGCUCAAUGUGAAAAUCUGCGUCCUCCGGGCGUCGAAUUGUGGUCUGGGUUUGGUUUCAUAACGGGCACCGCGUGUAAUUCGUUGUUGAGACAGCGAGCCGAAGAAGGUCAUAGCCCUGUUCCGUGCGGUCGCCCCCACCUGGAACCCUUCCUGUGAGUCGUGUUGCUUGGGACUGCAGCGCCAACCGGGUGGUAAUGUCCAUCCAAAGCUAAAUAUUUGCGCGAGACCGAUAGCGAACAAGUACCGUGAGGGAAAGAUGAAAAGAACUUUGAAAAGAAAGUGAAAUAGUACGUGAAAUCGUUGGAAGCAAGCGCAGCUCUCUGUCUUCUCCGCGCUGGACUCGUCCAGCAUGGAGGGCACGAUCGAUGUGGGCCCCGCCAGCAGGCACGCCACUGGCUCCGGCCACGGCAGUCGCCCAGCGGGCCUCAUGUCGAGGAUUUUCGGGUCGCCCUACCUCUCCGGAGGUUGCGUCCCCAGGAUCGUGCUGUUUUGUCGGAGAGCUUCGACCCGUCUUGAAACACGGACCAAGGAGUCUGACAUGGGUGCGAGUAGUAGGGUGGCAAACCCUAGUGCGCAGAGAAAUCGAGAUAGCCUUAGCCUGUAAAAGGGUGCAUGGCUGGCAGCGCGUUGUUCUUCUGUUCAGUGCCUAGCAAGAGCACUUAUGUCGGGACCCGAAAGAUGGUGAACUAUGCUUGUGCAGGGUGAAGUCAGGAGAAAUCCUGAUGGAAGCUCGAAGCGAUACUGAC
rnacentral:rRNA from 1 species